rnacentral:pre_miRNA from 1 species
GAUUUCAACUGAAAUGUCAUCAACAACAAAGUUGUAUAACUCAUCAAUAUCUAUAACUUCUAUUUUGGUCGUUUCUUCAUCCGACAAAGUGAUAGUAACUUUCUCACAAAAUUUAUAAAACUAUAACAGAUAUAAACUAUAAGAGAGAGAUGUAAAUUUUGUGAGCAAUGUUACUAUCACUUUGUCGGAUGAAGAAACAACCAAAAUAGAAGUUAUAGAUAUUGAUGUGUUAUACAACUUUGUUGUUGAUGACUUUUUCAGUUGAAAUC